UUUCUCUUUGUCCUUGAUCUCGACGGUGUAGUCGUGCUCAUUACCUUACUGAGACGUCUCUUGUGACUGUAGCCAGUGUCACGGAGGAUUUUAUUGGCGUGACGAGGUAGAUCGCCGAGAUCGAGCGUGAAAAACGCUCUGCAUUAGUAGCUCCUGUAGAAUGUCUUUUGGGAUGGCGUAUCCAUGGUCAACAAAGCCAAGGUGCAAGACAGCAUAAGAGAUCGUGUAAACGAUGUGAACUCCAAAAGAUAAUCUGGACAAAUAAAUUAUAUUGUAACUGGAGAGUGCAAUCGUGCUUGGGACCCAUCCCAAUGUCAUCACAUGGCUGUGGUGACUAGUGUAUACCUGUACCUGGGAGAGUUUUUCCUCAACUGAGACGGAGUGUAGGUGGACGGAUUAUGAGAAAUGCGAAGAUGUGGAGUUCAAGGCUAGAUGCACUUCACAUUCGGCGUGCGAUCUCGGCGUCUGGGACCUGAUAACGUCUUGGUUGGAUGGGUGAUCAAGGAUGAUACUACUCGGCACACCAAUGUACAUGUCAAUGUAAUUUUUACUUUUUCAGAGCUGCACUAUUUACGGACGAAUGUGUCUGUUAGAGAGGAAAUAAAUAGUAUUCACAAACAAGUCCCACUUAUUGUUUCUGUUCGUAAAAGGAAAUUGCAAUUAAAUUGGUCAUAUUGUUCGUUCCGGCUGUUUGUCAUUGACUGUUCUUCAGGGUUGUGUUGCUGGAGAUGAUGACUAUUUACAUCUUGAUGCUUACUUCGGUGCUAGCGUGUUUCCCCCGGAUUAUUUCUAUCAUCAUGCGUGUUCUUGGGCUGAGCGAGCACAUGCACGAGUGUGCAGCUAUAACCCCGUGUAUCUUUGGUUACACUUUGUUCUGCAACGCAUGUACCUUGUAACAGUAUGUGCUUGCACUGCUUUGUGUGGCCUGCGUAUUUCAGGACUAUUUAGUGCAUUAGACCCAGGUUGGUUUGGUUGCCGGAUGAUCUCUUGUUGCGUCGCUCUGUGUUUUGUAUUCAUCAAUUUUUGGGCUUGAGAA